AUUGAACGCUGGCGGCAGGCCUAACACAUGCAAGUCGAGCGGAUGAAGGGAGCUUGCUCCUGGAUUCAGCGGCGGACGGGUGAGUAAUGCCUAGGAAUCUGCCUGGUAGUGGGGGAUAACGUCCGGAAACGGGCGCUAAUACCGCAUACGUCCUGAGGGAGAAAGUGGGGGAUCUUCGGACCUCACGCUAUCAGAUGAGCCUAGGUCGGAUUAGCUAGUUGGUGGGGUAAAGGCCUACCAAGGCGACGAUCCGUAACUGGUCUGAGAGGAUGAUCAGUCACACUGGAACUGAGACACGGUCCAGACUCCUACGGGAGGCAGCAGUGGGGAAUUUUGGAAAAUGGGCGAAAGCCUGAUCCAGCCAUGCCGGGGGGGUGAAGAAGGGCUUCGGAUUGUAAAGCACUUUAAGUUGGGAGGAAGGGCAGUAAGUUAAUCCCUUGCUGUUUUGACGUUACCAACAGAAAAAGCACCGGCUAACUUCGU
rnacentral:rRNA from 1 species